AUUGAACGCUGGCGGCAGGCCUAACACAUGCAAGUCGAACGAGUGGCGGACGGGUGAGUAAUGUCUGGGAAACUGCUUGAUGGAGGGGGAUAACUACUGGAAACGGUAGCUAAUACCGCAUACCAUCGGAUGUGCCCAGAGGGGAUUAGCUAGUAGGUGGGGUAAAGGCUCACCUAGGCGACGAUCCCUAGCUGGUCUGAGAGGAUGACCAGCCAAACUGGAACUGAGACACGGUCCAGACUCCUACGGGAGGCAGCAGUGGGGAAUAUUGGACAAUGGGCGCAAGCCUGAUGCAGCCAUGCCGCGUGAAUGAAGAAGGCCUUCGGGUUGUAAAGUCCUUUUGGCAGGGAAGCGUUACCCGCAGAAGAAGCCCCGGCUAACUCCGUGCCAGCAGCCGCGGUAAUAC
rnacentral:rRNA from 1 species